GCGACCCAUGUCAGGCAGGAUCAUCCACUGAGUUUAAGCAUAUCAAUAAGCGGAGGAAAAAAACUAACAAGGAUUCCCUUAGUAACGGCGAGCGAACCGGGAAUAGCCCAACUUGAAAAUCGGACGUCUUUGGCGUUAGAAUUGUAGUCUGGAGAAGCGUCCUCAGCGACGGACCGGGCCCAAGUUCCCUGGAAAGGGGCGCCAGAGAGGGUGAGAGCCACAUCGUGCCAAGACCCUAUCGCACCAC
rnacentral:ncRNA from 1 species